AGCUCUGUGACACCCCAAGUAUUCACAUCUCCAUCUCACAGUUGGGGAAACUGAGGCUCUGAGUGGCUGUGGCUUCUUCUUGAUUCCCCAGCUCCUGAGUUGUCUGUCUGGAGUUCAAGCUUCAAGUCUCUGGCCUCCACUGCUGUGUGCUGGAAGAACGGGCUGAUACAUCAAUCCCCAGCUUCAAGAUGUCCCUUGCGAGUCCUUUGGAGGUGCAGUCUCCUAGCCCAGCUGCUUUCCUGUGACCUUGGUACAGCCACGCAUGUCUGCAAGCCAUUUGGCCCAGGCCUCUCUGCUCAUGUCCACUGUAUCACUUGGUGACCUGAGGCCUGACUGUCCUUGGAUCUGUGAUCCUGCAUUAUUCCCUGGACAACCUGGCCCUGGGACUUCCAGACCCUGGUGACCUUCUAUAACCACUGGCAUUUGAUCACAGGAGACGAAGGGGUCACUCAUCGGAGGCCACCGGGGACCGCACCCAGCCUACCGCCCAGAGUCACACAAACCAG